UAGUAGUUAAUUGUUAUACUAUUGGUAAACCUCAUGACAAUAUUCCUAAACAACCAUGGACUCCAUCUUAUUAUAUCGCAAUUACGGCUAAUAAAGAGCUUUCCAAUUGUAUCAAUGAAUGCCACAAACUCUAUCUACCAAGGGGUUCACUAAAGAACAUGCAAUGCGUUGGAGAAUGCUAUAAGAAGCAUGGCUAGACUUUCAGUUUUUUUGAAUUCAUAUUAUCUUAUAUGAAUAUAUAUUUUAUGUCCUACUCAUUUACAAGUGUUAAGUGAUUAAUAAAUUAUCAACAAAAGUAUCUAAAGUAUUCGUUUGUAUGAAAUAAAACACAAUCUCAAAAAGUGAUUUGAAUCUUAGAAGUAGCCCAUCUAAUACAUGAAAUCAAUACUUCCAAAGUUUAUUUAGUUUUGAAAUUUGUUAAAACUUAUAUUGAAUGCUGCUAUACUUGCUUUCAAUUCUUUAUGAAAUUCGGGUAAAAUAACAUCGACAAUGUACAAUCAAAUGAGAUAGGCGAAGUUCAAGUCG
rnacentral:lncRNA from 1 species